GGGGGGGGGGGGGGGGGGGCGUGGCGCGGGGGGGGGGGGGGGGAGGGGCGCUGUGGGGGGGGACGCGAGUGGCGAACGGGUGAGUAACACGUGGGUAGCCUGCCCGUGACGUGGGGAUAACUUCAGGAAACUGGGGCUCAUACCGGAUCAGAGCGACUGCGGCGGGGGGGGGGUUGGAAGGGUUCGGCGGGUGGGGAUGGACUCGCUGCUGAUGAGCUUGGUGGGUGGGUAGUGGCUUACACAGGCUUUGACGGGUAGCCGGGCUGAGAGGGUGAACGGCCACAUUGGGACUGAGAUACGGCCCAGACUCCUACGGGAGGCAGCAGUGGGGAAUAUUGCACAAUGGGUGGAAGCCUGAUGCAGCAACGCCGUGUGCGGGAUGACGGCCUUCGGGUUGUAAACCGCUUUCGCUCAUGACGAAGCUUUGUGUGACGGUAGUGGGUAAAGAAGCACCGGCUAACUACGUG
rnacentral:rRNA from 1 species